GACGAACGCUGGCGGCGUGCCUAAUACAUGCAAGUCGAGCGGAUCUCUUCGGAGAUCAGCGGCGGACGGGUGAGUAACACGUGGGCAACCUGCCUGUAAGACUGGGAUAACUCCGGGAAACCGGGGCUAAUACCGGAUAACCCUUCGGACCUCAUGGUCCGGAGCUGAAAGACGGUUAUGCUGGCACUUACAGACGGGCCCGCGGCGCAUUAGCUAGUUGGUGAGGUAACGGCUAACCAAGGCGACGAUGCCUAGCCGACCUGAGAGGGUGAUCGGCCAAACUGGGACUGAGACACGGCCCAGACUCCUACGGGAGGCAGCAGUAGGGAAUCUUCCGCAAUGGACGAAAGUCUGACGGAGCAACGCCGCGUGAGUGAAGAAGGUUUUCGGAUCGUAAAACUCUGUUGUUAGGGAAGAACAAGUACGAGAGUAACUGCUCGUACCUUGACGGUACCUAACCAGAAAGCCACGGCUAACUACGUGCCAGCAGCCGCCGUAAUAC
rnacentral:rRNA from 1 species